UUCAAUUGGCUAGACCCAACGUGUGGCUUCUUUUACAUUUUUGGCUUUGAAAAUAUCUCCUUUAACUUUUGGUUUUUUAUCUUGGUGGUUUCAGUGACUGUAUUUUUAGACUUUCAUUUUAACGUUUAGUUUUGUACUUCAAUUUGGUUUUUUUUUGGACAGUAUCUUGUAUCUAUAUCUUGAAUAAACUUGUUUUGCUAUGGUAUACUGUGUUGACUGAAUGGAUUGCUUUGUUUUGAUUGGUCAAAUAAUUAUUUUGAAUUAAUAAUAAAUAAAUUGAAAAUUUGAAUAUCUUGAAUUUAGCUAUUUUACAAGUCCGGAAUAGCAUUAAAAGUGAAUCACUACCUUGAAUUAAAAGUUUUUUCGAUUUUAGGUUUAUCGGAAGUUGUAGCAGUACAUUUCAUCAGAUUUCACGACUGGACCAAACAAAUAAACAUUACUGGUAUAGGUAUCCACUCACAACAUUAACUUGAGGACAGAGAGUAAG
rnacentral:lncRNA from 1 species